rnacentral:lncRNA from 1 species
GCCAGACUCCAACAAAAGUCAGAUUUUGGUUGAAGUCAGAGAGAGGUUGUGAGAUUGCCAUCCCUUGACAUCUUUUUAAAAGUGAAUUGUUUAAUCACUUUUUUUUAAGCUGAUUUCUUAGCCAUCUUGCAGAAAUAUGAGGCAGGGGCACUUAUCCAUUAGGUACAGUAGGUAAGGUAACUAAGCCCAAUGACACCCUUAGCAGCCCAUGAAAAUGGUUUAGUUUCUUUCAUAAAAUGGUGCUGAAGAUAAUGAUAGUUGCAAAGGAAAAAAUACGGUAGACCAAUAUCAUAGUAUGUUACCAAGCAUAGGGCCUAUUAUUGGAAGCUAUUUCCAGUGCUCAGGAUAUUAACAUCUCCUGGAGCGUCUGCAAAACACAUCUUGAAGGCAGAACCAUAGUCCUCAAUUUGGCCUGCCUCUUUUAUUUGACAAUAAAGUUUUAUUUAUUUCUGAGCAUAAGAUUGGGAUUUUAUUUCUAGAAAAAGGGAGAAAAGGUGGAAGGAGGAGGAGGCAGGGAAAAGGUGGAAACUUGCCCAGGCCCAUAGCAGGAGCCCAACACAGGGAACACUUAAGCUUGUGUAGAGUACUUGUAACCAGAAGCCCGGAGGUGGAGCACAGCAGAGGAUGCAAUGUGCCACUGUCGCGGCCAGAGCCCAUGCAGUGUAAACAUUAACAUUCUUGGAUGCACUAAGCACUGGGCUGCGGUCUACACUUGCAUUCUGAGGUGGUGGAGUCAUGGCCAAAAUUUUGGAGUACUUGGACUUUUCUCAAGAAGCGUUGCACUUCUUGUCCGGACCGGGGAUUACCGCAGAUCGCAGCCCAGAGUCUGCGGAGGCGCACCGUUUCAUCAACAGCAGGGACUGAAACUUCAGCCCAGGAGAAGCCAAGAUGGCACCGUUAUCGCACCCUGGGAAUCGAGGACCGGGAAGAACUUAAUGAUGCGAUUCCUCCCGUGAUCUCAGUGAUUGUAUCAGGCGAAAACGAGGAGGGCAAAAUACCGUCCAGAUGUAAACUAGGAGCAGCCGCACCAGCAGCACCAGCAGAAUGCCGUGGUAGUGCGGCAGGCCCUGGCCCCAUGGACAAAGAGAAACUCGUCAGUGGCAGUGGCCACGAACUCAGAAAGCCUGAGGACAGUCAGCAGCUCCUCUGGCUCUUCACUUUCACACUGGUGCAACUACAGGAGCUGAAGAACAUUUUUCAACUCGUUCCAUACCCGGACGUGUUAGGAUCAGAUUCAUCAUUGGACUCCUGGACCUAUCACUGCGGACCUCAAAUGUGCACCUUUUAAGCCCUUUCCUUCACUCCUGACUGAUUGAUUUGGGAUCCACUGCUAAGUCAGACUUUUGAACCAUUGUUCCAGGCAAACUUCUGUUAAAGCUGUUUCAGAUGAGUUUCCAAUGUUUAUAUUCUAGUUGGACCACAAAUAACGAGUCUCAUCUCAGCACCCGAAGAUGGAGUCUCCCUCUGUCGCCCAGGCUGGAGUGCAGUGGCGCGAUCUCGGCUCACUGCAACCUCCACCUCCCGGUUUUAUGCGAUUCUCCUGCCUCAGCCUCCCGAGUAGCUGGGACUACAGUGGCCUCAGGGAUAUGGAAUUAAGAUCCACCUGGUGUGAUGAAUAAACCCAGACUCUCAGCAACGCAGGAAAAAAAAAACAAAAACUGGCUGGCGAUCUGGAGUAAAGGAUCCUCACAUCCACGUGAACCAGGAAACUCUGUGCCCAAAUCGACGAAAAAAAAACACUGGGAGAGCCGAACUAAAAGUCUUUUAGCACGGGUACCAGCCCUAGAAUUUCCAGUACACCAGCAGCAGCCUGGAAACCACAUCCUCAUCAAAAGACAGAAAGAAAAAAACUCGAGCCAGCCUGAGAAGGACCCUAUUUUAUGCUGUUAACCACUGAGACUGCCAUCCUCACAGCUGAGAAAGGAUGGACCCACCAUACUCAAGUCAAGAAAACAUCUUCCUCGUCAGAAUCAUGGGUUACUGUACUAGGAUUAAGCCUUACUAAGUUAAAGUUAAAGAAAGCUUAAUUUUCAUAUACCUUCUAUAUUGCUUCUUUUCCUUUCCUUAUUCUGUUACUAGCUCCUUUGUUAUUAAUGUAACUAAGUCUGAGUCACCUCAGACCAUUGCCUUUUAUGCUUGCUCUGUCAUACCUUGUGGAAAUGUAAAAGAUCAAUGACAGCUAGCCUUUUCACACAAUUAUUUAUGCCUCGGCCCUCUAAUUGACACAGUUACCCCUAGCACUCAUCGUUGUGAUCACCUGCAGCCAAGACGCUGAUUUUCUGCUCCUAUAGCCUGGCAACCUUGUGGUACAUGGGACUACGUCCUUUAAACUACCCAGGAGCAAAGUUGGACUUCCAUGAAAAAGGUUUGUGCAGAUCUAAAACCUCUCAUCUAUUUCACUAAAAGGACUUCCCCUUCUAACUGUCACCCUUACCAAUGUAACCCUGUCCUCUCUAUCACCACCUCCACCUGUCUUUAACUAACUCUAGACCUGUCCUUAAUUGCUUUUAUGGUAUUGGAAUAGGAAUUAAAAGAAAUUAAAGAAUGUGUAAGGAGAAACUCAGUUGUAUGUAAGAAAACCCAAUUCCCCCUGAGAAAGAGAAAGAGUUGGAGUCCUUUAAAAAUUAACUGCCUGUUUUUCUGUGGCUAGUGAGCCUUAUCUCUCCUCCUUUCCCAGACAUUGUGAAGACCCUGUUUCUCUAGCUGUGCAGCUGCAAGGUCACUAGACAGAUAAACUCAAGUUGUAAAACAUGUUUUUCCUUGAAAAGUAAGAAAUGCUGUAAUGCAUUUCUCAAUUAAUUAAAUAACUGUCUUUGUUUCUCGCUUCUGUAAUAUGCUUCCCCCUGCACAGAUCUCCACCCACCCUACAAAAUGCUUAAAAGGUAACUUAACUCUUUGUUCUGGGCUCAGUCCUUUGGGCUGAGUACUGGGCCGGUGCACCUAAAUAAUAAAUAUCUUCC